rnacentral:rRNA from 1 species
GACGAACCACACAAACGUUAUUCGGAAUUACUGGGCUUAAAGGGUGCGUAGGCGGCGCAGAAAGUAGGGUGUGAAAUCCCUCGGCUCAACCGAGGAACUGCGCCCUAAACUACUGUGCUCGAGGGAGGUAGAGGUGAGCGGAACUUAGGGUGGAGCGGUGAAAUGCGUUGGUAUCCUAAGGAACACCGGUGGCGAAAGCGGCUCACUGGACCUCUUCUGACGCUGAGGCACGAAAGCUAGGGUAGCGAACGGG